UACACGUGUGCGUUUGUGUGUACGUGUUCAAGUGUAUAUAUAAGAAGGCGGGGUGUGGAGUUUUCAGAUCAGUCUUCGAAUCCUCAGCUCAACCAAAACACGAUGCGCGCCACAACCAUCCUCCUCAUGGUCCUGCUGGUGGUCGGGGUCGCCUUGGCCGCACCAGGCAAGGGUAAGGGCGGUUACGGUGGCGGCUACGGAGGGCGUAUCCACCAUAUCUACGUGCCCGUCCCGCAUUACUACCCCGUCUACCAUCAUAGCUAUGGCGGCUAUGGUGGCGGCCAUGGUGGAGGCUAUGGUGGCGGCUAUGGUGGUGGAUAUGGGGGCGGCUAUGGUGGUGGAUAUGGGGGCGGCCAUGGCAUCAGCUACGGCGGCUAUGGUGGUGGCUAUGGUGGUGGCUAUGGCGGUGGCUACGGUGGUGGCUAUUGGUAAGACGUGAGAGAGCGGCGCCCCUUCACCUCUUCACCUCGUUCACCCCCCCCUCCCCUCACCAGUACCUCGCCCCCCUUCACCCCCCUUCCCCGACACGCCCCCUUCCCGACCCCUUUCCUCGCCCCUUCACUGCCCCCUUUACUGUCUCUCUUUGUUUCCCUUCCUUUAUUCCCUUUCUCCAUUCCCUUCAUUAUCCUUCUCUCCUCCUUUCACUUUUCCAUUUUUUUCCUAUUUCCUUUUAUUAAUUUUUCUGUUUUCGUAUCUUUCCUUUUUUCUCUUUCUUAUUUCUCUUUUCUUCCUCUUCCUAUCUUCCCUUCCCUUUAUCCCUUUUACCAUCCUCUUUCUUAUUAUUUUUUCCUUUUCUCCUUUCUUUCCUUCCUCCCUCUCAUCAUCCUCUUCCUCAUUCCCUAUUUCUUCCUUUUUUCCUCCCUCCCUCUCAUCAUCUUAUGUUUUAAGUUUACAAUAAAGACCAAAAAACAC